rnacentral:rRNA from 1 species
UACGGAGGAUGCGAGCGUUAUCCGGAUUUAUUGGGUUUAAAGGGUGCGCAGGCGGCACGGCAAGCCGGCGGUCAAAUCGCGGGGCUCAACCCCGCCCAGCCGUCGGAACUGCCGGGCUAGAGUGGGCGAGAAGUGCGCGGAAUGCGUGGUGUAGCGGUGAAAUGCAUAGAUAUCACGCAGAACUCCGAUUGCGAAGGAAGCGCACCGGCGCCCUACUGACGCUCAGGCACGAAAGCGUGGGUAUCGAACAGG